GGGUUGUGAGGUUAAGCGACUAAGCGUACACGGUGGAUGCCCUGGCAGUCAGAGGCGAUGAAGGGCGUGCUAAUCUGCGAUAAGCGCCGGUAAGGUGAUAUGAACCGUUAUAACCGGCGAUACCCGAAUGGGGAAACCCAGUGUGAUUCGUCACACUAUCAUUAACUGAAUCCAUAGGUUAAUGAGGCGAACCGGGGGAACUGAAACAUCUAAGUACCCCGAGGAAAAGAAAUCAACCGAGAUUCCCCCAGUAGCGGCGAGCGAACGGGGAGGAGCCCAGAGCCUGAAUCAGCAUGUGUGUUAGUGGAAGCGUCUGGAAAGGCGCGCGAUACAGGGUGACAGCCCCGUACACAAAAGCGCAUGUGCUGUGAGCUCGAUGAGUAGGGCGGGACACGUGGUAUCCUGUCUGAAUAUGGGGGGACCAUCCUCCAAGGCUAAAUACUCCUGACUGACCGAUAGUGAACCAGUACCGUGAGGGAAAGGCGAAAAGAACCCCGGCGAGGGGAGUGAAAAAGAACCUGAAACCGUGUACGUACAAGCAGUGGGAGCACCCUUCGGGGUGUGACUGCGUACCUUUUGUAUAAUGGGUCAGCGACUUAUAUUCUGUAGCAAGGUUAACCGUAUAGGGGAGCCGGAGGGAAACCGAGUCUUAACCGGGCGUUAAGUUGCAGGGUAUAGACCCGAAACCCGGUGAUCUAGCCAUGGGCAGGUUGAAGGUUGGGUAACACUAACUGGAGGACCGAACCGACUAAUGUUGAAAAAUUAGCGGAUGACCUGUGGCUGGGGGUGAAAGGCCAAUCAAACCGGGAGAUAGCUGGUUCUCCCCGAAAGCUAUUUAGGUAGCGCCUCGUGAAUUCAUCUCCGGGGGUAGAGCACUGUUUCGGCUAGGGGGCCAUCCCGGCUUACCAACCCGAUGCAAACUGCGAAUACCGGAGAAUGUUAUCACGGGAGACACACGGCGGGUGCUAACGUCCGUCGUGAAGAGGGAAACAACCCAGACCGCCAGCUAAGGUCCCAAAGUCAUGGUUAAGUGGGAAACGAUGUGGGAAGGCCCAGACAGCCAGGAUGUUGGCUUAGAAGCAGCCAUCAUUUAAAGAAAGCGUAAUAGCUCACUGGUCGAGUCGGCCUGCGCGGAAGAUGUAACGGGGCUAAACCAUGCACCGAAGCUGCGGCAGCGAACGUAUCACCCAAGACAACUUUACGGAGUUGACGAUUGACGGAGCGAAGCGACGUCAAAGCGUUCAUUAAAGUCGAGUUGGCUUAGGGAUACGUUCGUUGGGUAGGGGAGCGUUCUGUAAGCCUGUGAAGGUGUGUCGUGAGGCAUGCUGGAGGUAUCAGAAGUGCGAAUGCUGACAUAAGUAACGAUAAAGCGGGUGAAAAGCCCGCUCGCCGGAAGACCAAGGGUUCCUGUCCAACGUUAAUCGGGGCAGGGUGAGUCGACCCCUAAGGCGAGGCCGAAAGGCGUAGUCGAUGGGAAACGGGUUAAUAUUCCCGUACUUGGUGUUACUGCGAAGGGGGGACGGAGAAGGCUAUGUUGGCCGGGCGACGGUUGUCCCGGUUUAAGGGUGUAGGUGUGUGUUCCAGGUAAAUCCGGUUCACUUUAACACUGAGGCGUGACGACGAGGCACUACGGUGCUGAAGCAACAAAUGCCCUGCUUCCAGGAAAAGCCUCUAAGCAUCAGGUAACACGAAAUCGUACCCCAAACCGACACAGGUGGUCAGGUAGAGAAUACCAAGGCGCUUGAGAGAACUCGGGUGAAGGAACUAGGCAAAAUGGUGCCGUAACUUCGGGAGAAGGCACGCUGACACGUAGGUGAAGUGAUUUACUCAUGGAGCUGAAGUCAGUCGAAGAUACCAGCUGGCUGCAACUGUUUAUUAAAAACACAGCACUGUGCAAACACGAAAGUGGACGUAUACGGUGUGACGCCUGCCCGGUGCCGGAAGGUUAAUUGAUGGGGUCAGCGUAAGCGAAGCUCCUGAUCGAAGCCCCGGUAAACGGCGGCCGUAACUAUAACGGUCCUAAGGUAGCGAAAUUCCUUGUCGGGUAAGUUCCGACCUGCACGAAUGGCGUAAUGAUGGCCAGGCUGUCUCCACCCGAGACUCAGUGAAAUUGAACUCGCUGUGAAGAUGCAGUGUACCCGCGGCAAGACGGAAAGACCCCGUGAACCUUUACUAUAGCUUGACACUGAACAUUGAGCCUUGAUGUGUAGGAUAGGUGGGAGGCUUUGAAGUGUGGACGCCAGUCUGCAUGGAGCCGACCUUGAAAUACCACCCUUUAAUGUUUGAUGUUCUAACGUGGACCCGUAAUCCGGGUUGCGGACAGUGUCUGGUGGGUAGUUUGACUGGGGCGGUCUCCUCCUAAAGAGUAACGGAGGAGCACGAAGGUUGGCUAAUCCUGGUCGGACAUCAGGAGGUUAGUGCAAUGGCAUAAGCCAGCUUGACUGCGAGCGUGACGGCGCGAGCAGGUGCGAAAGCAGGUCAUAGUGAUCCGGUGGUUCUGAAUGGAAGGGCCAUCGCUCAACGGAUAAAAGGUACUCCGGGGAUAACAGGCUGAUACCGCCCAAGAGUUCAUAUCGACGGCGGUGUUUGGCACCUCGAUGUCGGCUCAUCACAUCCUGGGGCUGAAGUAGGUCCCAAGGGUAUGGCUGUUCGCCAUUUAAAGUGGUACGCGAGCUGGGUUUAGAACGUCGUGAGACAGUUCGGUCCCUAUCUGCCGUGGGCGCUGGAGAACUGAGGGGGGCUGCUCCUAGUACGAGAGGACCGGAGUGGACGCAUCACUGGUGUUCGGGUUGUCAUGCCAAUGGCACUGCCCGGUAGCUAAAUGCGGAAGAGAUAAGUGCUGAAAGCAUCUAAGCACGAAACUUGCCCCGAGAUGAGUUCUCCCUGAGACUUAGAGUCUCCUGAAGGAACGUUGAAGACGACGACGUUGAUAGGCCGGGUGUGUAAGCGCAGCGAUGCGUUGAGCUAACCGGUACUAAUGAACCGUGAGGCUUAACCUUACAACGCCGAAG
rnacentral:rRNA from 1 species